GAGGAUUGAAGACAGUAUAUUAACCAUACUAUUCUUCUUUAUUGCUAAUUGUUAAAUAUGCUAGUCCUUUCAUGAUUAUGCGAUACGUGUCGCAUGGCCGUUCUUAGUUCGUGUGUGAUCUGUCUGCUUAAUUGCGUUUCACUAAGGGCCCAUAAAUUCAAGGAAUGUUACCUUAUGCUGCUCUAUUGACCCCUACCAAGCUUAACCGUCUUUAUAGCGUGUCUCUACAAGUUCUUUAAAGCACUGCACAUGCUGGUGGGUCCUGAAACCGACCAACGUGACCGCACCGUCUUGUUGCCUCUCUAUUAUACUUGCUUAUUUGUAAUAACAGUAUUUACCUGAGGCUAUUUUAAAACUAGACGGACCGCUGUUUCUUUCUUAAACCAGAGGAAGGUUGCGGCAAUAACAGGUCUGUGAUGCCCUUAGAUGUUCCGG
rnacentral:rRNA from 1 species